CCUACGGGAGGCAGCAGUGAGGAAUAUUGGUCAAUGGCCGGAAGCCUGAACCAGCCAAGCCGCGUGAAGGAUGAAGGCCCUAAGGAUUGUAAACUUCUUUUAUCAAGGGAUAAAGUCCGGUUCGUGAGCCGGACCGAAGGUACCAGAAGAAACAGGAUCGGCUAACUCCGUGCCAGCAGCCGCGGUAAUACGGAGGGUUCGAGCGUUAUCCGGAUUUAUUGGGGUUAAAGGGUGCGUAGGCGGCAUGCCAAGUCAGCGGUGAAAUUUCCGGGGUCAACCCUCGCUCUGCAGUUGAAACGGGCGUUCUUGAGUGCGCGAGAGGUAUGCGGAAUGCGUGGUGUAGCGGUGAAAUGCAUAGAUAUCACGCAGAACUCCGAUUGCGAAGGCAGCUUACUGGAGUGCAACUGACGCUGAAGCUCGAAAGCGUGGGUAUCGAACAGGAUUAGAUACCCUAGUAGUC
rnacentral:rRNA from 1 species